GACGAACGCUGGCGGCGUGCUUAACACAUGCAAGUCGAACGCUGAAGCUCAGCUUUUGUUGGGUGGAUGAGUGGCGAACGGGUGAGUAACACGUGAGUAACCUGCCCCCUUCUUUGGGAUAACGCCCGGAAACGGGUGCUAAUACUGGAUAUUCACUGGUCUUCGCAUGGGGGUUGGUGGAAAGGGUUUUUCUGGUGGGGGAUGGGCUCGCGGCCUAUCAGCUUGUUGGUGGGGUGAUGGCCUACCGAGGCUUUGACGGGUAGCCGGCCUGAGAGGGUGACCGGUCACAGUGGGACGGAGAUACGGCCCAGACUCCGACGGGAGGCGGCAGUGGGGAAAAUUGCACAAUGGGCGCAAGCCUGAUGCAGCGACGCCGCGGGAGGGAUGGAGGCCUUCGAGUUCUGAACCUCGUUCGCUCAUGAUCAAGCCGCAACAAUGGUUGUGGUGACGGUAGUGGGUAAAGAAGCGCCGGCUAACUACGUG
rnacentral:rRNA from 1 species